GGCAGUAUAGCACACUGGCAGAGCAUGUGCAUGGCGUGCGUGAGGCCCUGGGUUCAAUCCCCAGUGCCACCA
rnacentral:tRNA from 1 species